rnacentral:rRNA from 1 species
UGGGGAAUAUUGCACAAUGGGCGAAAGCCUGAUGCAGCAACGCCGCGUGCGGGAUGACGGCCUUCGGGUUGUAAACCGCUUUCAGCAGGGACGAAGUGAAAAUGACGGUACCUGCAGAAGAAGCACCGGCUAACUACGUGCCAGCAGCCGCGGUGAUACGUAGGGUGCGAGCGUUGUCCGGAUUUAUUGGGCGUAAAGAGCUUGUAGGCGGUCUGUCACGUCGAAAGUGCAAGCUCAGGGCUUAACCCUGAGCCUGCUUUCGAUACGGGCUGACUAGAGGAAGGUAGGGGAGAAUGGAAUUCCCGGUGGAGCGGUGGAAUGCGCAGAUAUCGGGAGGAACACCAGUGGCGAAGGCGGUUCUCUGGACCUUUCCUGACGCUGAGAAGCGAAAGCGUGGGGAGCAAACA